rnacentral:rRNA from 1 species
CGGGGUGAGUAAUGUAUGGGGAUCUGCCUGAUGGCGGGGGAUAACUACUGGAAACGGUAGCUAAUACCGCAUAAUGUCUGCGGACCAAGGCGGGGGACCUCCGGGCCUCGCGCCAUCAGAUGAACCCAUAUGGGAUUAGCUUGUAGGUAAGGUAACGGCUUACCUAGGCGACGAUCCCUAGCUGGUCUGAGAGGAUGAUCAGCCACACUGGGACUGAGACACGGCCCAG